GAUGAACGCUAGCUACAGGCUUAACACAUGCAAGUCGAGGGGCAGCGCAGUGUAGCAAUACACGGGCGGCGACCGGCGCACGGGUGCGUAACGCGUAUCCAACCUUCCCGUUACUCAGGGACAGCCUUCCGAAAGGGAGAUUAAUACCUGAUGGUGUUGAAAUUCCGCAUGUUAUUUCAACUAAAGAUUUAUCGGUAACGGAUGGGGAUGCGUGACAUUAGAUAGUAGGCGGGGUAACGGCCCACCUAGUCUACGAUGUCUAGGGGUUCUGAGAGGAAGGUCCCCCACACUGGAACUGAGACACGGUCCAGACUCCUACGGGAGGCAGCAGUGAGGAAUAUUGGUCAAUGGUCGGAAGACUGAACCAGCCAAGUAGCGUGAAGGAUGAAGGUUCUAUGGAUUGUAAACUUCUUUUAUACGGGAAUAAAACCUCCCACGUGUGGGAGCUUGUAUGUACCGUAUGAAUAAGCAUCGGCUAACUCCGUGCCAGCAGCCGCCGUAAAAC
rnacentral:rRNA from 1 species